UGGGGAAUCUUGCGCAAUGCGCGAAAGCGUGACGCAGCAACGCCGCGUGGAGGAAGACGGUCUUCGGAUUGUAAACUCCUUUCAGUUGGGACGAAGCUCAACGGGUUAAUAGCCCGGCGGAGUGACGGUACCUUCAGAAGAAGCCCCGGCUAACUACGUGCCAGCAGCCGCGGUAAUACGUAGGGGGCUAGCGUUGUCCGGAAUCAUUGGGCGUAAAGCGCGUGUAGGCGGUCCGGUAAGUCUGCUGUGAAAGUCGGGGGCUCAACCCUCGAAUGCCGGUGGAUACUGUCGGGCUAGAGUGCGGAAGAGGCGAGUGGAAUUCCUGGUGUAGCGGUGAAAUGCGCAGAUAUCAGGAGGAACACCAAUUGCGAAGGCAGCUCGCUGGGACGUAACUGACGCUGAGACGCGAAAGCGUGGGGAGCAAA
rnacentral:rRNA from 1 species